UUAGGGUUAGGGUUAAAAAGUUGUUGUAGGAUUGACUACUGACCACUAGCUGACGUGGAUGCAUGCAUGCGCACCGGGAACCUUCUAGAAGACGAGAAGUUCAUAGAAGCUGCCACGUUUUAAUUUUUGGUGCCAAUACUUGUUCUCAGAAACUAAGUCCUUUUCAUUGUUUGGAUUUCCCAGUUGGUAUUUGAAACUUCCUAUUGCAUCAAGCCACAACUACAAGAUCAUGGGUAUUUCGAACUUAUUAAAGGUGCUCCUCCAUUUCUCUA